rnacentral:sRNA from 1 species
GCCAGGUGCAGUGGCCCACACCUGUAAUCCCAGAGACUCGGGAGGCUGAGGCAGGAGGAUCGCAAGUUUGAGGCCAGCCUCAGCAACUUAGUGAGACCCUGUCUCAA